GUGGGGAAUAUUGGACAAUGGGCGAAAGCCUGAUCCAGCCAUGCCGCGUGUGUGAAGAAGGUCUUCGGAUUGUAAAGCACUUUAAGUUGGGAGGAAGGGCAGUAAGUUAAUACCUUGCUGUUUUGACGUUACCGACAGAAUAAGCACCGGCUAACUACGUGCCAGCAGCCGCGGUAAUACGUAGGGUGCAAGCGUUAAUCGGAAUUACUGGGCGUAAAGCGCGCGUAGGUGGUUUUGUAAGUUGGAGGUGAAAUCCCCGGGCUCAACCUGGGAACUGACUCCAAAACUGCAUGACUAGAGUACGGUAGAGGGUAGUGGAAUUUCCUGUGUAGCGGUGAAAUGCGUAGAUAUAGGAAGGAACACCAGUGGCGAAGGCGACUACCUGGACUGAUACUGACACUGAGGUGCGAAAGCGUGGGGAGCAAACAGGAUUAGAUACCCGUGUAGUCC
rnacentral:rRNA from 1 species